rnacentral:rRNA from 1 species
UACGUAGGGUGCAAGCGUUUGUCCGGAAUUAUUGGGCGUAAAGAGCUCGUAGGCGGUUUGUCGCGUCUGCUGUGAAAACCCGAGGCUCAACCUCGGGCCUGCAGUGGGUACGGGCAGACUAGAGUGCGGUAGGGGAGAAUGGAAUUCCUGGUGUAGCGGUGGAAUGCGCAGAUAUCAGGAGGAACACCGAUGGCGAAGGCAGUUCUCUGGGCCGUAACUGACGCUGAGGAGCGAAAGCGUGGGGAGCGAACAGG